AGUCGAGCGGAGUGAUGGUGCUUGCACUAUCACUUAGCGGCGGACGGGUGAGUAAUGCUUAGGAAUCUGCCAUUUAGUGGGGGACAACAUUCCGAAAGGAAUGCUAAUACCGCAUACGUCCUACGGGAGAAAGCAGGGGAUCUUCGGACCUUGCGCUAAAUGAUGAGCCUAAGUCGGAUUAGCUAGUUGGUGGGGUAAAGGCCUACCAAGGCGACGAUCUGUAGCGGGUCUGAGAGGAUGAUCCGCCACACUGGGACUGAGACACGGCCCAGACUCCUACGGGAGGCAGCAGUGGGGAAUAUUGGACAAUGGGCGGAAGCCUGAUCCAGCCAUGCCGCGUGUGUGAAGAAGGCCUUUUGGUUGUAAAGCACUUUAAGCGAGGAGGAGGCUACUAGUACUAAUACUACUGGAUAGUGGACGUUACUCGCAGAAUAAGCACCGGCUAACUCUGUGCCAGCAGCCGCGGUAAUACAGAGGGUGCGAGCGUUAAUCGGAUUUACUGGGCGUAAAGCGUGCGUAGGCGGCUUUUUAAGUCGGAUGUGAAAUCCCCGAGCUUAACUUGGGAAUUGCAUUCGAUACUGGGAAGCUAGAGUAUGGGAGAGGAUGGUAGAAUUCCAGGUGUAGCGGUGAAAUGCGUAGAGAUCUGGAGGAAUACCGAUGGCGAAGGCAGCCAUCUGGCCUAAUACUGACGCUGAGGUACGAAAGCAUGGGGAGCAAACRGGAUUAGAUACCCUGGUAGUCCAUGCC
rnacentral:rRNA from 1 species